rnacentral:sRNA from 2 species
CAUUCUACCCAUGCGGGAAGGAUGAGAAGCUUCGACCAAGGUUCGACCCGAGCGUCAGCGAGAGAACGUUGCCGCAGGCAACGGCCCGAAGGGUGAGCAGCUUCAGCUGCGAAUAAUCCUUCCCCCACCACCA